GGCUCGGUGGCUUAGUGUUUAGCACUGUUGCCUCGCACCUCCGUGGUUGGGGGUUCGAAUCCCGCCUUCGCCC